AGUGAACGCUGGCGGUAGGCCUAACACAUGCAAGUCGAACGGCAGCACAGUAAGAGCUUGCUCUUACGGGUGGCGAGUUGCGUACGGGUGAGGAAUACAUCGGACUCUACUUUUUCGUGGGGGAUAACGUAGGGAAACUUACGCUAAUACCGCAUACGACCUACGGGUGAAAGCAGGGGAUCUUCGGACCUUGCGCGAUUGCAUGAGCCGAUGUCGGAUUAGCUAGUUGGCGGGGUAAAGGCCCACCAAGGCGACGAUCCGUAGCUGGUCUGAGAGGAUGAUCAGCCACACUGGAACUGAGACACGGUACAGACUCCUACGGGAGGCAGCAGUGGGGAAUAUUGGAAAAUGGGCGCAAGACUGAUCCAGCCAUACAGCGUGGGUGAAGUAGGCCUUCGGGUUGUAAAGCCCUUUUGUUGGGAAAGAAAAGCAGCAGGUUAAUACCCCGCUGUUCUGACGGUACCCAAAGAAUAAGCACCGGCUAACUUCGUG
rnacentral:rRNA from 1 species